GUGGCCGUUGUCCGCGUUGAUGGAGACCAGGGAGGCGAGGGGCAGAAACAUCGGGAUAAGAACACCAAAACAGACAAAGAAAAUAUGUUUCACACCUUCCUCAACAAACUUCAAAAUCUCAUCACACUGAUUAAGGAGAAUCAUCACUCUGUAAUCUUGUAUAAUGCAUUUAAGCUGUCCCUCCUCUAUUCUCUCAUAAAAACUUGUGUAUACAACUAUGAUUGCCCUGCAAAUAUUAUUGCUUCUUAAUUCAUGCAAAUCUAUUUCUUCUUCAAUGUGUGGGCUACUUAAGGAUAGGAACUAUGUCCUAAUCAUCUGUGAGUGACAAAUCAGACAAGCAAUAAAUACUGCCUGUAUUAGGACAUGCAUAAAUAAACUCAGAUGGGUAGAACCUGAAA
rnacentral:lncRNA from 10 species